AGAGUACUCACCCUAUCGCCUGCUGUAUGGACGGGAGCUGCAGCUGUUGACUGAGAUCACUGAAACUCCACCUGAUGUGGUGGAAGUUGUCGAACCAGAUCAAAACACCUUAAAGGGACAGCUUUAGGCACAGCCUGAGAAGGAUGUGGAGGUUUUUGACCAGGUGAGAUUGAACAUGGACAAGCACAGGAGAAACAGAAGGAGAGCUACCAGAGGAGAAUCAAGGAGGGGACCAAGAGCUUCAACAUCCGGGCGAAUGACUUGGUUUGGAAGAAGGACGAAAGGAAGGCGAGACCUGGGAAACCUUGCUGCUCUUGAGC